GUGCUCACUUCAGCAGCCCAUAUACUAAAAUUGGAACAAUACAGAGAAGAUUAGCAGGGCCCCUGCACGAGGAAGAUGUACAAAUUCGUGAAGCAUUCCAUAGUUUU